AGAGUUUGAUCAUGGCUCAGAACGAACGCUGGCGGCGUGCCUAACACAUGCAAGUCGAACGGAUAUUUUGUAGCAAUACAGAAUAUCAGUGGCGCACGGGUGAGUAACACGUGGAUAAUCUGCCUCCGAGUUCGGGACAACCUGCCGAAAGGCGGGCUAAUACCGGAUGAGACCACGGUUCCUUCGGGAACUGAGGUCAAAGGUGGCCUCUAUUUAUAAGCUAUCGCUUGGAGAUGAGUCCGCGGCCCAUCAGCUAGUUGGUAGGGUAAUGGCCUACCAAGGCUAUGACGGGUAGCUGGUCUGAGAGGACGACCAGCCACACUGGAACUGAGACACGGUCCAGACUCCUACGGGAGGCAGCAGUGGGGAAUAUUGCGCAAUGGGGGAAACCCUGACGCAGCAACGCCGCGUGGGUGAUGAAGGCUUUCGGGUCGUAAAGCCCUGUCAGCGGGGAAGAAACUUCUGGAUUCUAACAGGAUCCAGGAUUGACUGUACCUGCGGAGGAAGCACCGGCUAACUCCGUGCCAGCAGCCGCGGUAAAACGGAGGGUGCAAGCGUUGUUCGGAAUUACUGGGCGUAAAGCGCGUGCAGGUGGUCUUCUAAGUUUCGUGUGAAAUCCCCCGGCUUAACUGGGGAACGGCGCGGAAAACUGGAAGACUUGAGUACGGGAGAAGAGGGCGGAAUUCCCAGUGUAGAGGUGAAAUUCGUAGAUAUUGGGAGGAACACCGGCGGCGAAAGCGGCUCUCUAGACCGAUACUGACACUCAUACGCGAGAGCGUGGGGAGCAAACAGGAUUAGAUACCCUGGUAGUCCACGCUGUAAACGAU
rnacentral:rRNA from 1 species